AUUGAACGCUGGCGGCAGGCCUAACACAUGCAAGUCGAACGAGUGGCGGACGGGUGAGUAAUGUCUGGGAAAUUGCCCGAUGGAGGGGGAUAACUACUGGAAACAGUAGCUAAUACCGCAUACCAUCGGAUGUGCCCAGAUGGGAUUAGCUAGUAGGUGGGGUAACGGCUCACCUAGGCGCCGAUCCCUAGCUGGUCUGAGAGGAUGACCAGACACACUGGAACGUAGACGCGGUCCAGACUCCUACGGUAGGCAGCAGUGGGGAAUAUUGCAGAAUGGGCGCAAGCCUGAUGCAGCCAUGCCGAGUGUAUGAAGAAGGCCUUCGGGUUGUAAAGUACUUUCAGCGAGGAGGCGUUACUCGCAGAAGAAGCAACGGCAAACUCCGGGCCAGCAGCCGCGGUAAUUC
rnacentral:rRNA from 1 species